UACGUAGGGUGCAAGCGUUGUCCGGAAUCAUUGGGCGUAAAGAGCGUGUAGGCGGCCUCGUAAGUCCGCUGUGAAAGUCCAGGGCUCAACCCUGGGAUGCCGGUGGAUACUGCGAGGCUAGAGUCCGGAAGGGGCGAGUGGAAUUCCUGGUGUAGCGGUGAAAUGCGCAGAUAUCAGGAGGAACACCAAUGGCGAAGGCAGCUCGCUGGGACGGUACUGACGCUGAGGUGCGAAAGCGUGGGGAGCAAACAGG
rnacentral:rRNA from 1 species